rnacentral:rRNA from 1 species
GCAAGUUGCGCUUGAAGCCAUUAGGCUGAAGGCACGUCUGCCUGGGCGUCUCAUAAUGCGUCGCCCCCAACCCUUACUCCCUCCGGGGACGUGGGAACUUGGGGGCGGAUAUUGGCCCCCCGUGCGUUUCGGUGUGCGGUCGGCCUAAAAUCGAGUCUCGACGGCUGGCGUCACGACAAGUGGUGGUUGUAAAACCGACGUGCUGUCGCAUGCAUUACAGCCUUCGACGUUUUGACUCCAAGACCCUGCAGCUCCGUAUAAUACGGUGCCUCGACUGCGACCCCAGGUCAGGCGGGACUACCCGCUGAGUUUA